AUGAACGCUGGCGGCGUGCCUCAUCCCUGCCAGUCGAGCGAACGGACGAGAAGCUUGCUUCUCUGAUGUUAGCGGCGGACGGGUGAGUAACACGUGGAUAACCUACCUAUAAGACUGGGAUAACUUCGGGAAACCGGAGCUAAUACCGGAUAAUAUUUUGAACCGCAUGGUUCAAAAGUGAAAGACGGUCUUGCUGUCACUUAUAGAUGGAUCCGCGCUGCAUUAGCUAGUUGGUAAGGUAACGGCUUACCAAGGCAACGAUGCAUAGCCGACCUGAGAGGGUGAUCGGCCACACUGGAACUGAGACACGGUCCAGACUCCUACGGGAGGCAGCAGUAGGGAAUCUUCCGCAAUGGGCGAAAGCCUGACGGAGCAACGCCGCGUGAGUGAUGAAGGUCUUCGGAUCGUAAAACUCUGUUAUUAGGGAAGAACAUAUGUGUAAGUAACUGUGCACAUCUUGACGGUACCUAAUCAGAAAGCCACGGCUAACUACGUG
rnacentral:rRNA from 1 species